UAAAACACCCGUUCCAGUAUGAUCACCAAAGUUAAGCAAUGUUGAGCCUAGUCAGUACCAUGAUGGGUGACAGCUUGUGAAUACCAGCUACUGUAA